CCUGAGUAACUGCCACAGGUAGAGAAGGCAAAGAUGGCGAAGAACUGGAGGAGGAAGAGGAGGAAGAGGAGAAAUGAUAAAAUGUGAAAGCUGAGUGCAGUGACAUUAGUCAGAGAGCAGAGGGAGCUGAGACCAGAUCAGACCUAAGUCCACAGUCUGAGAGCUGCAUUUGACAAAGGUGCGUAGGUCAAGGAUGUGUUGAAGAUGUUGGUGACCCAGCCAGAGAUGCCAUCUGGUCCAGCAGCUCUCCUGCUUUUUGCCCCCACAGUAAAAGUACUUCCUGUGAAGUAUCACAGUAAAAGUACUUCCUGCACUUACAAUAUCACAGUAA